rnacentral:rRNA from 1 species
GGUUAAGCGACUAAGCGUACACGGUGGAUGCCCUGGCAGUCAGAGGCGAUGAAGGACGUGCUAAUCUGCGAAAAGCGUCGGUAAGGUGAUAUGAACCGUUAUAACCGGCGAUGUCCGAAUGGGGAAACCCAGUGCAAUUCGUUGCACUAUCGUUAACUGAAUACAUAGGUUAACGAGGCGAACCGGGGGAACUGAAACAUCUAAGUACCCCGAGGAAAAGAAAUCAACCGAGAUUCCCCCAGUAGCGGCGAGCGAACGGGGAGCAGCCCAGAGUCUGAAUCAGCUUGUGUGUUAGUGGAACGGUCUGGAAAGUCCGACGGUACAGGGUGAUAGUCCCGUACACCAAAAUGCACAGGCUGUGAACUCGAAGAGUAGGGCGGGACACGUGGUAUCCUGUCUGAAUAUGGGGGGACCAUCCUCCAAGGCUAAAUACUCCUGACUGACCGAUAGUGAACCAGUACCGUGAGGGAAAGGCGAAAAGAACCCCGGCGAGGGGAGUGAAAAAGAACCUGAAACCGUGUACGUACAAGCAGUGGGAGCACCUUCGGGUGUGACUGCGUACCUUUUGUAUAAUGGGUCAGCGACUUAUAUUCUGUAGCAAGGUUAACCGUAUAGGGGAGCCGCAGGGAAACCGAGUCUUAACUGGGCGUUAAGUUGCAGGGUAUAGACCCGAAACCCGGUGAUCUAGCCAUGGGCAGGUUGAAGGUUGGGUAACACUAACUGGAGGACCGAACCGACUAAUGUUGAAAAAUUAGCGGAUGACUUGUGGCUGGGGGUGAAAGGCCAAUCAAACCGGGAGAUAGCUGGUUCUCCCCGAAAGCUAUUUAGGUAGCGCCUCGUGAACUCAUCUUCGGGGGUAGAGCACUGUUUCGGCUAGGGGGUCAUCCCGACUUACCAACCCGAUGCAAACUACGAAUACCGAAGAAUGUUAUCACGGGAGACACACGGCGGGUGCUAACGUCCGUCGUGAAGAGGGAAACAACCCAGACCGCCAGCUAAGGUCCCAAAGUCAUGGUUAAGUGGGAAACGAUGUGGGAAGGCACAGACAGCCAGGAUGUUGGCUUAGAAGCAGCCAUCAUUUAAAGAAAGCGUAAUAGCUCACUGGUCGAGUCGGCCUGCGCGGAAGAUGUAACGGGGCUAAACCAUGCACCGAAGCUGCGGCAGCGACACUAUGUGUUGUUGGGUAGGGGAGCGUUCUGUAAGCCUGCGAAGGUGGCCUGUGAGGGCUGCUGGAGGUAUCAGAAGUGCGAAUGCUGACAUAAGUAACGAUAAAGCGGGUGAAAAGCCCGCUCGCCGGAAGACCAAGGGUUCCUGUCCAACGUUAAUCGGGGCAGGGUGAGUCGACCCCUAAGGCGAGGCCGAAAGGCGUAGUCGAUGGGAAACAGGUUAAUAUUCCUGUACUUGGUGUUACUGCGAAGGGGGGACGGAGAAGGCUAUGUUAGCCGGGCGACGGUUGUCCCGGUUUAAGCAUGUAGGCGGAGGUUCCAGGUAAAUCCGGUACCUUUUAACGCUGAGGUGUGAUGACGAGGCACUACGGUGCUGAAGUAACAAAUGCCCUGCUUCCAGGAAAAGCCUCUAAGCAUCAGGUAACAUCAAAUCGUACCCCAAACCGACACAGGUGGUCAGGUAGAGAAUACCAAGGCGCUUGAGAGAACUCGGGUGAAGGAACUAGGCAAAAUGGUGCCGUAACUUCGGGAGAAGGCACGCUGGUGUGUAGGUGAAGUCCCUGCGGACGGAGCUGAGACCAGUCGAAGAUACCAGCUGGCUGCAACUGUUUAUUAAAAACACAGCACUGUGCAAACACGAAAGUGGACGUAUACGGUGUGACGCCUGCCCGGUGCCGGAAGGUUAAUUGAUGGGGUUAUCCGUAAGGAGAAGCUCUUGAUCGAAGCCCCGGUAAACGGCGGCCGUAACUAUAACGGUCCUAAGGUAGCGAAAUUCCUUGUCGGGUAAGUUCCGACCUGCACGAAUGGCGUAAUGAUGGCCAGGCUGUCUCCACCCGAGACUCAGUGAAAUUGAACUCGCUGUGAAGAUGCAGUGUACCCGCGGCAAGACGGAAAGACCCCGUGAACCUUUACUAUAGCUUGACACUGAACAUUGAGCCUUGAUGUGUAGGAUAGGUGGGAGGCUUUGAAGCGUGGACGCCAGUCUGCGUGGAGCCAACCUUGAAAUACCACCCUUUAAUGUUUGAUGUUCUAACGUUGGCCCCUUAUCGGGGUUGCGGACAGUGUCUGGUGGGUAGUUUGACUGGGGCGGUCUCCUCCCAAAGAGUAACGGAGGAGCACGAAGGUUAGCUAAUCCUGGUCGGACAUCAGGAGGUUAGUGCAAUGGCAUAAGCUAGCUUGACUGCGAGCGUGACGGCGCGAGCAGGUGCGAAAGCAGGUCAUAGUGAUCCGGUGGUUCUGAAUGGAAGGGCCAUCGCUCAACGGAUAAAAGGUACUCCGGGGAUAACAGGCUGAUACCGCCCAAGAGUUCAUAUCGACGGCGGUGUUUGGCACCUCGAUGUCGGCUCAUCACAUCCUGGGGCUGAAGUAGGUCCCAAGGGUAUGGCUGUUCGCCAUUUAAAGUGGUACGCGAGCUGGGUUUAGAACGUCGUGAGACAGUUCGGUCCCUAUCUGCCGUGGGCGCUGGAGAAUUGAGGGGGGCUGCUCCUAGUACGAGAGGACCGGAGUGGACGCAUCACUGGUGUUCGGGUUGUCAUGCCAAUGGCACUGCCCGGUAGCUAAAUGCGGAAGAGAUAAGUGCUGAAAGCAUCUAAGCACGAAACUUGCCCCGAGAUGAGUUCUCCCUGAGACUUUAAGUCUCCUGAAGGAACGUUGAAGACGACGACGUUGAUAGGCCGGGUGUGUAAGCGCAGCGAUGCGUUGAGCUAACCGGUACUAAUGAACCGUGAGGCUUAACCUU